UUUCCGUAGGUGAACCUGCGGAAGGAUCAUUACAGUGUUCUCUGCCCUCACGGGUAGAAACGCCCACCCUUGUAUAUUAUAUCUUUGCUGCUUUGGCAGGCCGCCCUCGGGCACCGGCUCCGGCUGGAUCGCGCCUGCCAGAGGAAACCCAAACUCUGAAUGUUAGUGUCGUCUGAGUACUAUCUAAUAGUUAAAACUUUCAACAACGGAUCUCUUGGUUCUG
rnacentral:misc_RNA from 1 species